rnacentral:misc_RNA from 1 species
AGCAGCCGCGGUAAUUCCAGCUCCAAUAGCGUAUAUUAAAGUUGCUGCAGUUAAAAAGCUCGUAGUUGAAUUUCGGGACUAAUAUGUCGGUCGUGCCUCGGUACGUACUGGCUUAUUGGUUUCUCCUUUCUGAAGAACCAUGAUGUAAUUUAUUUGGUGUCGUGGGGAAUCAGGACUGUUACUUUGAAAAAAUUAGAGUGUUUAAAGCAGGCUCACGCUUGAAUACAUUAGCAUGGAAUAAUGAAAUAGGACGUUUGAUUCUAUUUUGUUGGUUUCUAGGAUCGACGUAAUGAUUAAUAGGGAUAGUUGGGGGCAUUAGUAUUCAAUUGUCAGAGGUGAAAUUCUUGGAUUUAUUGAAGACUAACUACUGCGAAAGCAUUUGCCAAGGAUGUUUUCAUUAAUCAAGAACGAAAGUUAGGGGAUCGAAGACGAUCAGAUACCGUCGUAGUCUUAACCAUAAACUAUGCCGACUAGGGAUCGGAUGAUGUUAAUUUUAAUGACUCAUUCGGCGCCUUACGGG